ACAGCUAACUUAAGAACUUCUAAAUAACCUCGAAAACAACUGUUAUUGAGCAGUUUGUUGAUGAAUCACUCAGUGGAGGUUAUCUGACCUGCUUUUUCCUUUUUUAAUUUUAGGAGUUGUGUCUUCCAACACAUAUUUGAUCAUAAGCUUCAAGGUUAUCCACCGUGUGUUAGCUUUUUUCCUAUAUUCCUGAAGUCUUUGUCCUUACAGUCAUAAGUAGUCGGCAAGGGUUGCAAUGUGCCUGUUGCUGUAUGCCAAAACCAGGCUUGCUCUCAUUUGAAACAUUACACAGGUAAAAGAUGGAGAAUGUGGGUAACAUUUGCUUGCUUUCAGCCAAAUCAUAUCUGUGUUCUGAACUUAUGGCCCGAUAGUCGUUCUGACUGGUCAUACAGCUUUCUUGGGAAUGUCCAGUCAAAAAGACAUUGAUGUCAGGUUCCACCUUUCUCCAAGGGACUUUGUCUUCUAGGAUCUUUGAAAGUCUCGAUUUAGCCAUCUCUAUGCUGGAGUUAAUUUGGGGGAAAGUUGACACAUCUGCUCUGCAAUUUGACAGCUCCUUUAUUAAAGUGUCUCCCAGAAUGUAGAAAGUAUCCACAAGAAGUUGACAAUUCUGGCCUGGAGUGUGACAGCUCCCUACUUUGUACUCCUUAGGAGGCAUUUGUCGAUGAAAAUGUACCAUAUAACAUGCUAUAAUUAGGUUUAGUGUAUAGAAUAUGGUAAUUAAAGUAGUUGAACAAGUCUUUUUAUCAUAAUUAUUUUUUUUUUGAAAUUUCCACGGCUCCAUAGAAGAGCACAAUAAUGUAUUAGCAACAUCAUCAGCACUUAAACAUUUUUUUUUGUUUUAUUAUGUGCAUAACUGGAUGUUAUUGCUCCAUGGCACUAUUCCCAAGAGGAAACUGUACCUAUGAUUCUCAAGCCUUCCUCCCGUGGUAACCAGCAAUGAAGUUUGCAGUAUUUUCAACAAGUAACAUCAAACAUCAUUGGAUGGAGGGUACAGAAACUCUGAAUCAUUUUGUGUACAAUAUAUGUUGGAGCAAAAUGUAUGCAACUUUAUGAUUUGAAAUCUUUUAUUUAUGAUGAUUUCCUGAGAAUAUUUGAUUUUGUAGUAACCACUUAAUAAUCAUAUUAACUGUUUGUAACAAGAACUCUGAGCAGUAAACUUUGAACUUUGAUGAUUAAUGCCAUAGCUUUGAACAGAAGUUGUCUUGUAUUCAUUGCCAUCUUUGGUGCAACUGUAUAUUCUGAGAUUCACAGACAGAAGCUUGUUUGAGCUCAAAAGCAGCAAUUGUUUUAAUAUUACUCCAUUCUGUGUCCUUCAGUAGGUUUCCAGCAAAUUCAAAUGUUUAGAUUUGCAAAGAGUAAUUCUUCUCCUGGUGAUAGGUAAACUCUUUGUUUUAUUAGCUACAGUAUUUGUCUACUCACUGUUGUCAAAAAUGACAAUCAAACCUAAGCAAAAUAGCAAUCAUUUCCUAUGAUGAAUAAAGACAAGUAUGAAGUAUA